rnacentral:rRNA from 1 species
UACGAAGGGGGGCUAGCGUUGCUCGGAAUCACUGGGGCGUAAAGCGCACGUAGGCGGCGCAGCAAGUCAGGGGGUGAAAUCCCCGGAGCUCAACUCCGGAACUGCCCCUUGAAACUGCAGUGCUAGAAUUCUGGAGAGGCGAGUGGAAUUCCGAGUGUAGAGGUGAAAUUGUAGAUAUUCGGAAGAACACCAGUGGCGGAAGCGGACUCGCUGGGACAGACAUUGACGCUGAGACGCGAAAGCCAGGGGGAGCGAACGGG